rnacentral:ncRNA from 1 species
AAAAAGUUUGAUUCUUUCUUUGUUUUCUAUUAUUUAUCAUUAAAAUUGUAUGAGAUUAAUUAAGAGUAUAAAUGUUGACUAAAUUGUUAUAAACAAUUUAUAAUAGUAAAUUAGAAUAUUUGUCGACAAGAUUAUAAAUUCUCAGCAUAUAGAAUUAAAUUAAUACAUUAAAGUGUGAUUUAGUAAGUGAUUUAAAACCUGAUUAAAUAUUUGUGCCAGCAGUCGCGGUUAGACUUUAAGGUUGAGUAGAAAGUUUUGGUUAUUAGUUAAAUGAGUAGUUAAGGUUUAUAAUCUAAUAAAAUAAAAGGUGAAAUUAGGUUGUUUUCAAAUAUAGAUGAAUGUCUUAACUUAUAUUGAAGCUAAAAAAUUUUAGAUUUAAACUAGGAUUAGAUACCCUAUUAUACUAAUAAAUAAAUAUAAAUACCGGAUUAUUAAUAGAUAUGUUCUUGAAAUUUAAAGAAUUUGGCGGUGAUUUAGUCUAAUCAGAGGAACCUGUUUUUUAAUCGAUAAACCACGUAAAAUCUUACUUACUUUAUAUAGUUUGUAUACCGUCAUUAACAGAUAAUUUUUAGAGAAAAGAAUUAUUAAUAAAUAUAAUUUGAAUUAAUGAAAUUAGAUCAAGGUGCAGCUUAUAAGUGAGUUAAAAUGGGUUACAAUAAAUUUUAUUUAUAAUGGAUAUUUAAUGGAAGAUGAUUAAUUGGAAGGAGGAUUUGAUUGUAAUAUAAGUUUAAUAUGCUUAAGAGACAUAAGCUCUAAAUCAUGUACAUAUCGCCCGUCGCUUUCAUUAUAUAGAUGAGAUAAGUCGUAACAUAGUAGGUUUAUUGGAAAGUGAACCUAGAUUAA